UACGUAGGGUGCGAGCGUUGUCCGGAAUUAUUGGGCGUAAAGGGCUCGUAGGCGGUUUGUCGCGUCGGGCGCGAAAACACACAGCUUAACUGUGUGCUUGCUUCCGAUACGGGCAGACUAGAGGUAUGCAGGGGAGAACGGAAUUCCUGGUGUAGCGGUGAAAUGCGCAGAUAUCAGGAGGAACACCGGUGGCGAAGGCGGUUCUCUGGGCAUUACCUGACGCUGAGGAGCGAAAGUGUGGGGAGCGAACAGG
rnacentral:rRNA from 1 species